rnacentral:rRNA from 1 species
AGAGUUUGAUCCUGGCUCAGGAUAAACGCUGGCGGCGUGCCUAAUCAAUGCGAGUCGAGCGAGGCCUUCGGGUCGAGCGGCAUCCGGGUGAGUAACGCGUAGCUAACCUACCUUACAGUGGGGGAUACCCGUCAGAAAUGACGGCUAAUACCGCAUAGGGUGAUCACCAUCAGGGUGAGCAUCAAAGCCGCAAGGCGCUGAAAGAGGGGGCUGCGUCUGAUUAGCUAGUUGGUGGGGUAAAGGCCUACCAAGGCAACGAUCAGUAGCUGGUCUGAGAGGAUGGUCAGCCACACUGGGACUGAAACAUGGUCCAGAGCUCUACGGGGUUUAGCAUGAAGGGAUAUUGCGCAAUGGGCGAAAGCCUGACGCAGCAACGCCGCGUGUGGGACGACGCCUUUCGGGGUGUAAACCACUUUUCCCAGGGAAGAAGAAUGUGACGGUACCUGGGGAAGAAGCCUUGGCUAAGUACGUGCCAGCCGCCGCGGUAAUUC